CUGCUCUUUGUGUGCUACAGGGCAUAUUAAAGUCUAGCGUUGUUUGCAAAAAAAAUUCUUAUCUGAUUAUAGACCUCACACAUAUUCUGUAUUCCUUAUAGCAGCCCAAAGCAGGAGGGUAGAUGUAAUUGCGCAGCCCAACUGCUCACGCCAAUUUCACGCUGCUCGCUGGGUUGCCUGGAAAGCAGCAGCACUGAUAUGAUAAGAGAUCAUUUUGCUAGUCCCAUGUUAGACUGUAAAAUUAGAAAUUACUCCCUGCACAGGUCUACUAAA